CUUUCAUGGAGUUAAGAAACCACGUAAACAAAGCGGAACCGAAAAGCUAAACGAGUAGGAAGAAU
rnacentral:ncRNA from 1 species